rfam:Brassica oleracea var. oleracea cultivar TO1000 chromosome C9, whole genome shotgun sequence
UGUUGUUUAGCUUGGUGGUAGAGCGUAUGACUUUAAAUCUAGUGGUCGUUGAUUCGAUCAACAUAGACAG